AACGAACGCUGGCGGCAUGCCUAACACAUGCAAGUCGAACGAAGGCUUCGGCCUUAGUGGCGCACGGGUGCGUAACGCGUGGGAAUCUGCCCUUUGGUUCGGAAUAACAGCUGGAAACGGCUGCUAAUACCGGAUGACGACGAAAGUCCAAAGAUUUAUCGCCAGAGGAUGAGCCCGCGUUGGAUUAGGUAGUUGGUGGGGUAAAGGCCUACCAAGCCGACGAUCCAUAGCUGGUCUGAGAGGAUGAUCAGCCACACUGGGACUGAGACACGGCCCAGACUCCUACGGGAGGCAGCAGUGGGGAAUAUUGGACAAUGGGCGCAAGCCUGAUCCAGCAAUGCCGCGUGAGUGAUGAAGGCCCUAGGGUUGUAAAGCUCUUUUACCCGGGAAGAUAAUGACUGUACCGGGAGAAUAAGCCCCGGCUAACUCCGUG
rnacentral:rRNA from 1 species